GUCAGGUUUCCAGGCCGAGCCGCUGGGAAAAAAUGCUCCACUUCCCUGGUGAGAGGGAACUCACUCUGCCCUGACCGAGGAGGAGGAGGAGCAGGAGGACGAGGAGGAGGAAGACACGCCCUCCUCACUGGUCCAACGUGUUCAGUCGGCCCUCACAAAGGCUGAUCAGGGACAAGAGAGUUUGUAACCAGAGGUCUCCGGUUUAAAUCCAAGGACAGGUCAAGGGCUGGAGUUCCUCUGAGCAAGGCCCAAAG